rnacentral:rRNA from 1 species
UACAGAGGGUGCAAGCGUUGUUCGGAAUCAUUGGGCGUAAAGCGCACGUAGGCGGCUUUGCAAGUCGGGUGUGAAAGCCUGGGGCUCGAACCCCAGGAGUGCAUUCGAAACUGCAGAGCUUGAGUCUUGGAGAGGGCAGUGGAAGUUCCGAGUGUAGAGGUGAAAUUCGUAGAUAUUCGGAGGAACACCAGUGGCGAAGGCGACUGCCUGGACAAAGACUGACGCUGAGGUGCGAAAGCGUGGGGAGCAAACAGGG